rnacentral:rRNA from 1 species
UACGUAGGGCGCGAGCGUUGUCCGGAAUUAUUGGGCGUAAAGAGCUCGUAGGCGGUCCGUCACGUCCGCUGUGAAAACCCAGGGCUCAACCCUGGGCUUGCAGUGGAUACGGGCAGACUAGAGGUAGGUAGGGGAGAAUGGAAUUCCCGGUGUAGCGGUGAAAUGCGCAGAUAUCGGGAGGAACACCGGUGGCGAAGGCGGUUCUCUGGGCCUUACCUGACGCUGAGGAGCGAAAGCGUGGGGAGCGAACAGG